rnacentral:rRNA from 1 species
AGAGUUUGAUCAUGGCUCAGAUUGAACGCUGGCGGCAGGCCUAACACAUGCAAGUCGAACGGUAACAGGAAGCAGCUUGCUGCUUCGCUGACGAGUGGCGGACGGGUGAGUAAUGUCUGGGAAGCUGCCUGAUGGAGGGGGAUAACUACUGGAAACGGUAGCUAAUACCGCAUAAUGUCGCAAGACCAAAGAGGGGGACCUUCGGGCCUCUUGCCAUCGGAUGUGCCCAGAUGGGAUUAGCUUGUUGGUGGGGUAACGGCUCACCAAGGCGACGAUCCCUAGCUGGUCUGAGAGGAUGACCAGCCACACUGGAACUGAGACACGGUCCAGACUCCUACGGGAGGCAGCAGUGGGGAAUAUUGCACAAUGGGCGCAAGCCUGAUGCAGCCAUGCCGCGUGUAUGAAGAAGGCCUUCGGGUUGUAAAGUACUUUCAGCGGGGAGGAAGGGAGUAAAGUUAAUACCUUUGCUCAUUGACGUUACCCGCAGAAGAAGCACCGGCUAACUCCGUGCCAGCAGCCGCGGUAAUACGGAGGGUGCAAGCGUUAAUCGGAAUUACUGGGCGUAAAGCGCACGCAGGCGGUUUGUUAAGUCAGAUGUGAAAUCCCCGGGCUCAACCUGGGAACUGCAUCUGAUACUGGCAAGCUUGAGUCUCGUAGAGGGGGGUAGAAUUCCAGGUGUAGCGGUGAAAUGCGUAGAGAUCUGGAGGAAUACCGGCGGCGAAGGCGGCCCCCUGGACGAAGACUGACGCUCAGGCGCGAAAGCGUGGGGAGCAAACAGGAUUAGAUACCCUGGUAGUCCACGCCGUAAACGAUGUCGACUUGGAGGUUGUGCCCUUGAGGCGUGGCUUCCGGAGCUAACGCGUUAAGUCGACCGCCUGGGGAGUACGGCCGCAAGGUUAAAACUCAAAUGAAUUGACGGGGGCCCGCACAAGCGGUGGAGCAUGUGGUUUAAUUCGAUGCAACGCGAAGAACCUUACCUGGUCUUGACAUCCACGGAAGUUUUCAGAGAUGAGAAUGUGCCUUCGGGAACCGUGAGACAGGUGCUGCAUGGCUGUCGUCAGCUCGUGUUGUGAAAUGUUGGGUUAAGUCUCGCAACGAGCGCAACCCUUAUCCUUUGUUGCCAGCGGUCCGGCCGGGAACUCAAAGGAGACUGCCAGUGAUAAACUGGAGGAAGGUGGGGAUGACGUCAAGUCAUCAUGGCCCUUACGACCAGGGCUACACACGUGCUACAAUGGCGCAUACAAAGAGAAGCGACCUCGCGAGAGCAAGCGGACCUCAUAAAGUGCGUCGUAGUCCGGAUUGGAGUCUGCAACUCGACUCCAUGAAGUCGGAAUCGCUAGUAAUCGUGGAUCAGAAUGCCACGGUGAAUACGUUCCCGGGCCUUGUACACACCGCCCGUCACACCAUGGGAGUGGGUUGCAAAAGAAGUAGGUAGCUUAACCUUCGGGAGGGCGCUUACCACUUUGUGAUUCAUGACUGGGGUGAAGUCGAAACAAGGUAACCGUAGGGGAACCUGCGGUUG